GAUUAACGCUGGCGGCGUGCAUAACACAUGCAAGUCGAACGAUGAAACUUAAAUGAUUUCUUCGGAAUGAACUUAAGUGGAUUAGUGGCGGACGGGUGAGUAACGCGUGAGUAACCUGCCUUACACAAGGGGAUAGCCGUUGGAAACGACGAAUAAUACCCUAUGAAACUAUCACUUCGCAUGAAGCGAUAGUCAAAGUGUUAGCGGUGUAAGAUGGACUUGCGUCUGAUUAGCUAGUUGGUGAGAAAAAAGCCCACCAAGGCAACGAUCAGUAGCCGGCUUGAGAGAGUGUACGGCCACAUUGGGACUGAGACACGGCCCAGACUCCUACGGGAAGCAGCAGUGGGGAAUUUUGCACAAUGGGGGAAACCCUGAUGCAGCGACGCCGCGUGAUUUAGAAGGCCUUCGGGUUGUAAAAAUCUUUUGUAUAGGAAGAAAAUGACAGUACUAUACGAAUAAGGUCCGGCUAAUUACGUG
rnacentral:rRNA from 1 species